CCUACGGGGGGCAGCAGUGAGGAAUAUUGGUCAAUGGGCGCUAGCCUGAACCAGCCAAGUAGCGUGAAGGAUGACUGCCCUAUGGGUUGUAAACUUCUUUUAUAUGGGAAUAAAGUGCAGUAUGUAUACUGCUUUGCAUGUACCUUAUGAAUAAGGAUCGGCUAACCCCGUGCCAGCAGCCGCGGUAAUACGGAGGAUCCGAGCGUUAUCCGGAUUUAUUGGGUUUAAAGGGAGCGUAGGCGGGUUGUUAAGUCAGUUGUGAAAGUUUGCGGCUCAACCGUAAAAUUGCAGUUGAUACUGGCAGCCUUGAGUACAGUAGAGGUAGGCGGAAUUCGUGGUGUAGCGGUGAAAUGCUUAGAUAUCACGAAGAACUCCGAUUGCGAAGGCAGCCUGCUGGACUGUAACUGACGCUGAUGCGCGAAAGUGUGGGUAUCAAACAGGAUUAGAUACCCUAGUAGUC
rnacentral:rRNA from 1 species